UGGGGAAUUUUGGACAAUGGGGGCAACCCUGAUCCAGCCAUGCCGCGUGCGGGAAGAAGGCCUUCGGGUUGUAAACCGCUUUUGUCCGGAAAGAAAAGGCAUCUCCUAAUACGGGGUGCUCUUGACGGUACCGGAAGAAUAAGCACCGGCUAACUACGUGCCAGCAGCCGCGGUAAUACGUAGGGUGCGAGCGUUAAUCGGAAUUACUGGGCGUAAAGCGUGCGCAGGCGGUUCGUCAAGUCUGAUGUGAAAGCCCCGGGCUCAACCUGGGAAUGGCAUUGGAUACUAGCGAGCUUGAGUGUGGCAGAGGGGGGUGGAAUUCCACGUGUAGCAGUGAAAUGCGUAGAGAUGUGGAGGAACACCGAUGGCGAAGGCAGCCCCCUGGGCUAACACUGACGCUCAGGCACGAAAGCGUGGGGAGCAAACAG
rnacentral:rRNA from 1 species